UUCAUAUCGAUAUAUUUACAGAAACAAAUACAGUAGCUACUAUACAAAAUCUUACACAAAAUUUAGGUAUUUAUUGAUUGGAAACUUAUGCCAAAUUCUCAGGAAAAAAACAUUCAUUCAAUAAAAAUAUUUUUGGAAAUUUCGUGCUGACCAAUUUAGGGAGGUACAUAUAAAGGGAACAAGGCUAACAGAUGUGCACAUUCAAUUGCGAUCAAAAUAGAUUUCCAGGAAAUCAACCUCGCGCAUUCACUGGGUGAGAAGGAAGAUUGGAAAAUAAGAAAACAAUAGAAUCCGUGAACAAGGAUUCAAAUGGCAACUAUUGGGUGUUAUGACUCAAAUCAUUGAACAAAGGCUAGCAACAAUUUCCUGCAAAUCCAAGCAUCUCGAGAAUGUGCUAGAUUGUGUAAUUUUUUUAGGGAUCUGAUAUGUGAAUUGAGGGCCGAUCUUUCUCAUCCUCCUUAUUAACAAUUUCCUGCAACAAAACUUUAAUAA